rnacentral:rRNA from 1 species
UACGUAGGGGGCGAGCGUUGUCCGGAAUUACUGGGCGUAAAGAGAGCGUAGGCGGCACUACAAGUCUCAUGUGAAAUACCCGGGCUUAACUUGGGGGUUGCAUGGGAAACUGUAGAGCUUGAGUACAGGAGAGGCAAGCGGAAUUCCUAGUGUAGCGGUGAAAUGCAUAGGUAUUAGGAGGAACACCAGUGGCGAAGGCGGCUUGCUGGACUGAAACUGACGCUGAGGCUCGAAAGCGUGGGGAGCAAACAGG